UACGAAGGGGGCUAGCGUUGUUCGGAAUCACUGGGCGUAAAGGGCGCGUAGGCGGCCAUAUAAGUCGGGGGUGAAAGCCUGUGGCUCAACCACAGAAUUGCCUUCGAUACUGUAUGGCUCGAGACCGGAAGAGGUAAGUGGAACUGCGAGUGUAGAGGUGAAAUUCGUAGAUAUUCGCAAGAACACCAGUGGCGAAGGCGGCUUACUGGUCCGGUUCUGACACUGAGACGCGAAAGCGUGGGGAGCAAACAGG
rnacentral:rRNA from 1 species